rnacentral:tRNA from 2 species
UAAGGUUCCCGUAGUUGAAUA